CAGUAGCCACGGUAAUACGAAGGGGGCUAGCGUUGUUCGGAUUUACUGGGCGUAAAGCGCACGUAGGCGGACUUUUAAGUCAGGGGUGAAAUCCCGGGGCUCAACCCCGGAACUGCCUUUGAUACUGGAAGUCUUGAGUAUGGUAGAGGUGAGUGGAAUUCCGAGUGUAGAGGUGAAAUUCGUAGAUAUUCGGAGGAACACCAGUGGCGAAGGCGGCUCACUGGACCAUUACUGACGCUGAGGUGCGAAAGCGUGGGGAGCAAACAGGAUUAGAUACCCCUGUAGUCCCUGUCUCUUAUAA
rnacentral:rRNA from 1 species